ACCGUUAGAAAGUUUUUGUUUCUCGUACUGUACUUGUGCCGGGCAGACGUCGUCAAUCAGAGCUCAAGAAUCUUAGUUGAAAUUUCGUAAAAUUUUAACUUUUUCUACUUAUGCAUUGUUUUCUCUUACUUCAAUACGAAGAAUCAAGUUCAUUUCACACCCAUUUUGAAGACUGCUUCCAAUUUAUCUUCCACAUAUCUGGGAUUUGUUCCUACUGAAUAUUUGUUUCUUCAAACAUCAACAAGGAGAAUCAAGUACAUUUCCCACGGUAUUUGAAGACUGCUUCCAAUUGAUCUUCCAUCUAGCUGGCAUUUGUUUUAUUUUGCCAUCAAAUUAGCAGAACAGUACUGACUACAGAGGGUCUGACCAACCCAAAGCACAGAAGAACAUGGGUUCGAAAAAGAAAGCUGAUGUGACACCUGAAUGUCAUGAACAUGGUAAUCCCCCCCAAGAAAAGGAAGCUGGAUGGGCCCAUAGACUCUCUUCUGCUUGAUGUUGAAAACCAGAAUGUGGCUUACUUGAAGUAUUUUGUCGAACAAGGAACUGGCAACUUCCCGUUGAGUGAACAGUGGAGAUUAGUAUUCAUUCCUGCCCUAUCUGACACCACUAUUUCAGACCAGAUCUUUCAUAUCCUCAAGAAGAAGUACCCAGACAUCGAGUUCGUGAAAAA